UAUUGGACAAUGGGCGAAAGCCUGAUCCAGCAAUGCCGCGUGAGUGAUGAAGGCCUUAGGGUUGUAAAGCUCUUUUACCCGGGAUGAUAAUGACAGUACCGGGAGAAUAAGCUCCGGCUAACUCCGUGCCAGCAGCCGCGGUAAUACGGAGGGAGCUAGCGUUGUUCGGAAUUACUGGGCGUAAAGCGCACGUAGGCGGCUUUGUAAGUUAGAGGUGAAAGCCUGGAGCUCAACUCCAGAAUUGCCUUUGAUACUGCAUCGCUUGAAUCCAGGAGAGGUGAGUGGAAUUCCGAGUGUAGAGGUGAAAUUCGUAGAUAUUCGGAAGAACACCAGUGGCGAAGGCGGCUCACUGGACUGGUAUUGACGCUGAGGUGCGAA
rnacentral:rRNA from 1 species